GAUGAACGCUGGCGGCGUGCCUAAUACAUGCAAGUCGAGCGAACGGACGAGAAGCUUGCUUCUCUGAUGUUAGCGGCGGACGGGUGAGUAACGCGUGGAUAACCUACCUAUAAGACUGGGAUAACUUCGGGAAACCGGAGCUAAUACCGGAUAAUAUUUUGAACCGCAUGGUUCAAAAGUGAAAGACGGUCCUGCUGUCACUUAUAGAUGGAUCCGCGCUGCAUUAGCUAGUUGGUAAGGUAACGGCUUACCAAGGCAACGAUGCAUAGCCGACCUGAGAGGGUGAUCGGCCACACUGGAACUGAGACACGGUCCAGACUCCUACGGGAGGCAGCAGUAGGGAAUCUUCCGCAAUGGGCGAAAGCCUGACGGAGCAACGCCGCGUGAGUGAUGAAGGUCUUCGGAUCGUAAAACUCUGUUAUUAGGGAAGAACAUAUGUGUAAGUAACUGUGCACAUCUUGACGGUACCUAAUCAGAAAGCCACGGCUAACUACGUG
rnacentral:rRNA from 1 species